UUCCGGUUGAUCCUGCCGGACCCGACUGCUAUCGGGAUAGGGCUAAGCCAUGCGAGUCGCGCGCCCGGGGGCGCCCGGGAGCGGCGCACGGCUCAGUAACACGUGCCCAACCUACCCUCGGGAGGGGGACACCCCCGGGAAACUGGGGCCAAUCCCCCAUAGGGGAAGGGUGCUGGAAGGCCCCUUCCCCCAAAGGGACUGCGGCCGAUCCGCCGCAGUCCGCCCGAGGAUGGGGGCACGGCCCAUCAGGUAUUUGGCGGGUUAAAGGCCCGCCAAGCCGAAGACGGGUAGGGGCGGUGAGAGCCGCGAGCCCCGAGAUCGGCACUGAGACAAGGGCCGAGGCCCUACGGGGUGCAGCAGGCGCGAAUACUCCGCAAUGCGGGCAACCGCGACGGGGCUACCCCGAGUGCCGGGCGAAGAGCCCGGCUUUUGCCCGGUCUAAAACGCCGGGAGAAUAAGCGGGGGGCAAGUCUGGUGUCAGCCGCCGCGGUAAUACCACCCCCGCGAGUGGUCGGGGUGUUUACUGGGCUUAAAGCGCCCGUAGCCGGCCCGGCAAGUCGCUCCUGAAAUCCCCGGGCCCAACCCGGGGGCGGGGGGCGAUACUGCCGGGCUAGGGGGCGGGAGAAGGCCGCCGGUACUCCGGGGGUGGGGGCGAAAUCCGUUAAUCCCCGGAGGACCACCAGUGGCGAAAGCGGGCGGCCAGAACGCGCCCCGACGGUGAGGGGCGAAAGCCCGGGGGAGCAAAGGGGAUUACAAUACCCCCUGUAGUCCCCGGCCGUAAACGAUG
rnacentral:rRNA from 1 species